GCCGAAGUGGUGGAACUGGUAGACACGCCAUCUUGAGGGGGUGGUGGGCAACGCUCGUGGGAGUUCGAGUCUCCCCUUCGGCACCA
rnacentral:tRNA from 1 species